UACGUAGGGUGCAAGCGUUGUCCGGAAUUAUUGGGCGUAAAGAGCUUGUAGGCGGUUUGUCGCGUCUGCUGUGAAAUUUCGGGGCUCAACCCCGGACUUGCAGUGGGUACGGGCAGACUAGAGGUAGGUAGGGGAGAAUGGAAUUCCCGGUGUAGCGGUGAAAUGCGCAGAUAUCGGGAGGAACACCGGUGGCGAAGGCGGUUCUCUGGGCCUUACCUGACGCUGAGGAGCGAAAGCGUGGGGAGCGAACAGG
rnacentral:rRNA from 1 species